rnacentral:rRNA from 1 species
UGCAAGUCGAACGGCAGCAUGAUCUAGCUUGCUAGAUUGAUGGCGAGUGGCGAACGGGUGAGUAAUACAUCGGAACGUGCCCUGUAGUGGGGGAUAACUAGUCGAAAGAUUAGCUAAUACCGCAUACGACCUGAGGGUGAAAGUGGGGGACCGCAAGGCCUCAUGCUAUAGGAGCGGCCGAUGUCUGAUUAGCUAGUUGGUGGGGUAAAGGCCCACCAAGGCGACGAUCAGUAGCUGGUCUGAGAGGACGAUCAGCCACACUGGGACUGAGACACGGCCCAGACUCCUACGGGAGGCAGCAGUGGGGAAUUUUGGACAAUGGGCGAAAGCCUGAUCCAGCAAUGCCGCGUGUGUGAAGAAGGCCUUCGGGUUGUAAAGCACUUUUGUCCGGAAAGAAAUGGCUCUGGUUAAUACCUGGGGUCGAUGACGGUACCGGAAGAAUAAGGACCGGCUAACUACGUGCCAGCAGCCGCGGUAAUACGUAGGGUCCAAGCGUUAAUCGGAAUUACUGGGCGUAAAGCGUGCGCAGGCGGUUGUGCAAGACCGAUGUGAAAUCCCCGAGCUUAACUUGGGAAUUGCAUUGGUGACUGCACGGCUAGAGUGUGUCAGAGGGGGGUAGAAUUCCACGUGUAGCAGUGAAAUGCGUAGAGAUGUGGAGGAAUACCGAUGGCGAAGGCAGCCCCCUGGGAUAACACUGACGCUCAUGCACGA